GGAAAGGUGAAAAGAACCCCGAACAGGGGAGUGAAAUAGAACCUGAAACCAUACGCUUACAACCGGUCGGAGCAGCUUCGUGCUGUGACGGCGUGCCUAUUGAAUAAUGAGCCUACGAGUUACUAAUCACUAGCGAGGUUAAGUGCAAGGAUGCACGGAGCCGAAGCGAAAGCGAGUCUGAACAGGGCGUUUAGUUAGUGGUUGUAGACGCGAAACCUUGCGAUCUACCCUUGAGCAGGUUGAAGGUUGGGUAAAACCAACUGGAGGACCGAACGAAUAAGCGUUGAAAAGCUUCUCGAUGACUUGAGGGUAGGGGUGAAAGGCUAAUCAAGCUGGGAAAUAGCUCGUACUCCCCGAAAUGCCUUUUGGGGCAGCGUUGUAAUAAAGAGUCUACUGGAGGUAGAGCUACUGAUUGGAUGCGGGGGCUUCACCGCCUACCAAAUCCUGACAAACUCCGAAUGCCAGUAGUAUGAUUUACAGCAGUGAGUGACUGGGUGCUAAUGUCCAGUCGCAAAAGAGGAACAACUCAGACCAGCAACUAAGGUCCCGAAGAAUAUGCUAAGUUGAUCUAACGAUGUUUUGUUGCAGAGACAGCUAGGAUGUUAGCUUGGAAGCAGCUAUUCAUUCAAAGAGUGCGUAACAGCUCACUAGUCGAGCGACAGAGCGUGGAUAAUAAACGGGCAUCAAGCAUAUCACCGAAGUUCUGGGCGCGAGAGCGCGGUAGGGGAGCAUUCCAUUCAGCGUCGAAGCAGUUUCGUGAGGAAUUGUGGAGCGUAUGGAAAAGCAAAUGUAGGCAUGAGUAACGAUAAUGCGGGAGAGUAACCCGCACACCGCAAGACCAAGGUUUCCUGAUCAACGCUAAUCGGAUCAGGGUUAGUCGGGUCCUAAGGGUAAGCCGAACGGCGAUCUCGAUGGAUAAUCGGUUAAUAUUCCGAUACUAACAUAUACCUCGAUGGAGAGACGAAGGAACGUAAGUGCCGCCACCUGACGGAAUAGGUGGUUAAAGGGCGUAGAUAUAGGGGCAGAUUAAGAGUUAGUCCUUGCUGAAACCUGACAGUACAGAGAGCCUACGGGCAAUUUGAUAGAGCACCCAAGUCGACUUCCGAGAAAAUCUUCUAAGUUAUAGUAUAUGUUACCCGUACCGUAAACCGACACAGGUGGUCGAGGAGAGUAUCCUAAGGUGCUCGAGUGAAUCACGGUUAAGGAACUAGGCAAAUUAACCCCGUAACUUCGGGAAAAGGGGUCCCUAUGAAAGUAGGGCGCAGCGAAGAGGUCCAGGCGACUGUUUAUCAAAAACACAGGGCUCUGCAAAUUCGAAAGAAGACGUAUAGGGCCUGACACCUGCCCGGUGCUGGAAGGUUAAGAGGGGAUGUCAUCGCAAGAGAAGCAUUGAAUCGAAGCCCCAGUAAACGGCGGCCGUAACUAUAACGGUCCUAAGGUAGCGAAAUUCCUUGUCGGGUAAGUUCCGACCUGCACGAAUGGUGUAACGAUCUGGACACUGUCUCAACCGUGAGCUCGGUGAAAUUGUAGUCCCGGUGAUGAUGCCGGGUACCCGCAACGGGACGAAAAGACCCCGUGAACCUUUACUAUAGCUUAACGCUGAAUUUGGGUACACAAUGUGUAGGAUAGGCCGGAGGCUUUGAAGCGGGCACGCCAGUGUUCGUGGAGCCGACGUUGAAAUACGGCCCUUUGUGUAUUUGAGUUCUAACCCUGCGAAGGGGACACCGUUUGGUGGGUAGUUUGACUGGGGUGGUCGCCUCCAAAAGCGUAACGGAGGCUUCCCAAGGUACCCUCAGCACGAAUGGUAACCGUGCGCGGAGUGCAAUAGCAUAAGGGUGCUUGACUGUGAGACAUACAAGUCGACCAGGUACGAAAGUAGGGUAUAGUGAUCCGGUGGUUCUGCGUGGACUGGCCAUCGCUCAAAGGAUAAAAGGUACUCCGGGGAUAACAGGCUGAUCGCCGCCAAGAGCUCAUAUCGACGCGGCGGUUUGGCACCUCGAUGUCGGCUCGUCACAUCCUGGGGCUGGAGAAGGUCCCAAGGGUUGGGCUGUUCGCCCAUUAAAGUGGCACGCGAGCUGGGUUCAGAACGUCGUGAGACAGUUCGGUCUCUAUCU
rnacentral:rRNA from 1 species